CUUUUGUGGAAAGAGGUCAGCCAACAGGAGAUGGGUUCAGCCACCCCUCUGGAUUAGAUAAAAGAGGAACCUGACUUGGGGCAGAAGUGCAAACUCUUAUUUUCAGUUCCAGCUUUGAAGGGCGACUCUCCAUGAGCUUAUCAGAAUGCAUAAAUAUCCAGAAAAAACUCUGCAGCAUUUUUGUGUUGGCAAAUAAUCAGAAGAGCAGCGCAGGAAGGACAGCUGUCAUCACUACAACUGUCUCACAUUAUUAUCAAAGAAACAUCAGCAGUCUGCAAAAUUACUCUGACAACUGUAAGGUGGUUGGAUGUAUUGGGAGUACAGAGCAGUAGUGGACGGUUUUGUGGAGUGGUCUGGGAGGAAUCAUCUGCUUCCGAGAGAUGGUGAUGGAGUUUAGAAGGAAGAGGACAGCCACACAACCCAAUCCUGGGACAAGACGUUGGUGUGGUGCCAGGGUGCAAGUAUCUGGGGAUCCACAUAAACAACAGACUGAAUUGGAAGACCAAUAAAGAGGCCAUAUACA